AACGCGAAGAACCUUACCUGGCCUUGACAUCUGUCGAAUCCUACAGAGAUGUGGGAGUGCCUUCGGGAACGACAAGACAGGUGCUGCAUGGCUGUCGUCAGCUCGUGUCGUGAGAUGUUGGGUUAAGUCCCGCAACGAGCGCAACCCUUGUCCUUAGUUGCCAUCAUUAAGUUGGGAACUCUAAGGAGACCGCCGGUGACAAACCGGAGGAAGGUGGGGAUGACGUCAAGUCAUCAUGGCCUUUAUGGCCAGGGCUACACACGUGCUACAAUGGUAGGUACAGAGGGAAGCCAACGCGCGAGCGGGAGCCAAUCCCAGAAAGCCUAUCGUAGUCCGGAUCGGAGUCUGCAACUCGACUCUGUGAAGUCGGAAUCGCUAGUAAUCGCAGAUCAGCAUUGCUGCGGUGAAUACGUUCCCGGGCCUUGUA
rnacentral:rRNA from 1 species